UACGUAGGGUGCGAGCGUUAAUCGGAAUUCCUGGGCGUAAAGCGUGCGCAGGCGGUCUGUUAAGACCGAUGUGAAAUCCCCGGGCUUAACCUGGGAACUGCAUUUGUGACUGUACGGCUAGAGUGUGUCAGAGGGGGGUAGAAUUCCACGUGUAGCAGUGAAAUGCGUAGAGAUGUGGAGGAAUACCGAUGGCGAAGGCAGCCCCCUGGGAUAACACUGACGCUCAUGCACGAAAGCGUGGGGAGCAAACAGG
rnacentral:rRNA from 1 species